UUAUUAUUGUAUUGUUUUUAAAUUAUCAUCAGAUCCCGCGUAUACGAAUUCGAUCCGAAACAUUUUUUUUUCAAAGUUUGGAUUGCGACGUCUGCAGCGACAAGAGUUGAUAUUCUGUUAGCUUCCUCGAGAUAAAGAAUCAAGCCAUGACCGUUUCCGCAAUUUGUUUGGUUCUGGAGCACUUUCAUGCUGCCCGCUCCCCUUUUUUGUUAUUCAUGGUGAAAUUCACUGCUCACCUACAUCGAACGCUCGUGCAUUUACUAGCAGUGUACUCAGAUAAUUUACUAGCGGUGGCGAAGACUUACAUACCGAAUAAAAGCGGAGCGCCAGGCUGCUUAGGGUGGAAAAUCGCAAGCGAUUGUAUGCAGCGAAUCAAAAUAAAUUGGCGGCGAUAUAGAAAAUCACCGAAGAUGUUCUCCUAGUAUUUCGAAAUUGCCAUGUCUUCCGCAUUCCAGCACCAGGCAGAAGCGCAGUAUUGACUCCAGCGCAGAGAUACUCACAACGGCAACAGUUCUUAAUUUAAAAGUUCAUAGUUCAUAGUUUUCGUUGGAAACAGCACACUAAUAAAAAUCCACACAUUUUUAUUGGCAAAAAUCUAAAGAAAUUCACAAAUAAAUUUUAAGUGUGCAUUAAUAACCACCCGCUAUAGCAAAAUCCACAUAAAGGUUAUUAGUUGAUAACGGUUAUGUGUGUUUCCACAUAUAUGCUAUGCGAAUUCAAAUAGCCGUUAUGUGGGAAAUGCUAUAGUCAAAAUUUAUGUGUGCCACACAUAAUGGACAUGAUUGGAUUUUUGUCAGUGCAUGUCUUUUAAUAAA